GAGAGAGAGAGAGCGUAUGGUGGAGGAGGCGGGAUGGUGGAGAUGCGCGGAUAGGGAAUGCGCGGAGCGAGUGGGGUUAGUAGCUGUGCGAGGCGUCACGUCACUCUCCAGCCACGAAGGAAACAGUGAGGUGACCAUCGCGGAAGGUUUUGUUGGGUAGUGAAAGUGUUUUCGACAAGGGCAGUGAAAGAAUACGAGUUUUACAACCUGGUGUGUGUGAGGCAGAGAACGGCCGCUCCUUUCUAUAGCCUGUCUGAGCUGCCGGGGCUAACCAGGGCGCUGCGCGGGGCAAUGGGGCAAGGAACACACAGACACAUCCAGCUGGAAAGGCGCGUGUCACUGGAGUCUUGGUGUUUCGGAGCUGUACCUUGUUCCACGCAGCGCCCCUGUCAUGGUCUCGUCUGCCACCACCACCACCACCACCACCACCAAGGGUUCCAUCAGCGAUUCAUCAGCGGUUUCCACCACGACCAUAAAACAGCGUGGAUUCUGUGCAGGGGUGAGCAGUCAUCGAAUUUCAAUGAUUUAAAGGCGCAAGGAUUUUACUCCGCUUAAUCCUUGUGUAAGCGAGGACUCAAUACAAAUGCAAAAUGAUAAUAAAAAUAAUGAUAAUUCA